rnacentral:rRNA from 1 species
CCCAGGUCAGGCGGGGCUACCCGCUGAAUUUAAGCAUAUCAAUAAGCGGAGGAAA